AAAUAGAAAAAAAGAAAGCCAUAAUCCAUCUCUCCAGCGUGUUUUGGUGGUUCAGUGGUGUGGUGGUGAGCUCCCAACCUUCACCACUACGAAAAUAAAGGAAGGGAACAGAAAUAACGGAAACAAAUGCUUACAAACAAGCAAAUAAACAAAUAAAUAGAAAAAAAGAAAGCCAUAAUCCAUCUCUCCAGCGUGUUUUGGUGGUUCAGUGGACUGGUGGUGAGCUCCCAACCUUCACCACCACGAAACUAAAGGAAGGGAACAGAAAUAAAGAAAACAAAUGAUAACAAACAAGCAAAUAAACAAAUAGACAAAGUAAAGCCAUAAUCCAUCACCCUAGCGUGGUUUGGUGAUAUAGUGAAGCGGUGGUGAGCUCCCGACCCUCAACACGGCGAAAAUAAAGGAAGGGAACAGAAAUAAAGGAAGAGGAACAUAGAAAUAACAAAAUAACAAAUAAACAUAAAUAGACAAAGUAAAGCAAUAAUUCAUCCCUCCAGCGUGUUUUGGUGGUUCAGUGGAGUGGUGGUGACGCUCCUGACCCUCACCACAGCGCAAAUAAGUAAAGGAAAACAUAUAGAAAAAGGAAUAAUCUUCGUUGCAGCGGCCGCCAUGUUGCCUCGUCCGAAACCCUGCAACGUAGAGGAUAAAAUCAAUACUUCCUAAUUAUCAUCCUAUUUUUAGCCCCACCGUCUUAUUUUUGGUGUUAAUUCAUGGUCAUUUAUUUAUUUACGUGCACAUGGACUGGUUUACAUACAUGGAAGCGUCCAUUAUGUAAGUAUUUGUGCGUGGGUAGUUCGUUGGUUUCGUACAUGGAGCUUUCCCGCCAUUUUCCUCCCAGCUGAUCCGAAUGUAAACAAACUGAAGUCGUACACGAGUCUGAGAUUGCCGUACACGUUAAAUACACGGGUUUUAGGUACACACACACGCCAAACAUACACACAUUGAAGCUACACACACACACACACACACACACACACACACACACACUAAACAUACACAUUAAAACUGCACCCCACACACACACACACACACACACACACACAUACAAAUCAUACACAUCAUUUAACACGCACACAGGUAGCCCUCAUCACACACACACACACACACACACACACACACACCAUGACCUACCCCAAUCCCCUACAGUUCAGAAUCACCGUAUAUUUCAGUGAUGGCACCACCCUUAUAAUCUACAUCCCCCGCCACCUCCCUUCCCCCUCUAUCCCCCCCUCCCCGAACCCCGCCCCCGCCCCUCCAACCCCCCAAGAACCCCACCGCCCUAGCCCCAACCUCAUGUAACCCCCAACAUGUCUGUAACCUCAUAAUUAAACCCCCAUAACCUAGCUAUUUUUUUUUUAUAUAAGUAUUGGUAGUGUAGCUUCUCUCUCUCUCUCUCUCUCUCUCUCUCUCUCUCUCUCUCUCUCUCUCUCUCUCUCUCUCUCUCUCUCUCCCUACGAGGUUGUGGUUACCAGGGAACGAAAGGAAACUAGGAAGAGAAGGAGGAGUAGAGGAGGAGGAAAGAACCACAAAAUUAGCACUUCUCUUCCUCCUCGUCCUCCUCCUCUAUCCUAAGGAGGGGAGGGAUAAGGAAGGGGGAAGAAGUGAGUGGAGGAAGGGAGGAGGUAGAAGGAAGAGGUAAGGAGGAGGAGUGUGAAGGAAUGUGUGUAGGAGGAAGGUAAAGAGAGGUAAGGCGGCAGGGAGGGUAGAAGAGAGGAAGACAAGGAAAAGGUAAGGAUAGGAAGAUAGGAAGAUGCGUAGGACGAAGGGAUAAAAGAUAGAAUGUUAAUCAAGGAAGGAAGGAGGGAGUGAAGAAGAGAGGUGUGAAGGAGGGAAGAGGAGGA